ACGGAAGUGAGGAUCCUUUCCCCAGCUGAUCCACUGUAAUUAUACUGUGCUCAAAUGAUUCCAAGCCAAAAAAAUUGAUCCAU
rnacentral:snoRNA from 2 species